CCCGGCCUGUUUCCUUUGGUUUAAAGUGGAUUCGAAUCAGUGUUAAAUCAGAAAAUCAGGGUUUUCUAGGAAAUUGGGAAUUAGUUGCCAGAAAGGAAACUGAACUAUGCAGAAGGAGUUAAGAGCUGGGAUGAGGCUGGAUGGGGUGACUGACAGUCCAGAUCAUUGAAACAGAUUGGGUCGUCGGAAACUGGUCCAGAUGAGGCUGGAUGGGGUGACUGACAGUCUGGAUCAUUGAAACUGAUUAGGUCGUCAGAAACGGGUCCAGACGAGGAUGAGGCUGAGGCUGGAUGGGGUGACUGACAGUCUGGAUCAUUGAAACUGAUUGGGUGGUUGGUCAGAAACGGGUCCAGAUGAGGAUGAGGCUGAGGCUGGAUGGGGUGACUGACAGUCUGGAUCAUUGAAACUGAUUGGGUGGUUGGUCAGAAACGGGUCCAGAUGAGGAUGAGGCUGGAUGGGGUGACUGACAGUCUGGAUCAUUGAAACUGAUUGGGUCGUCAGAAACUGGUCCAGAUGAGGCUGGGUGGGGUGACUGACAGUUUGGAUCAUUGAAACUGAUUGGGUGGUCAGAAACUGGUCCAGAUGAGGAUGUGGCUGGAUGGGUCUGGAUCAUUGAAACUGAUUGGGUGGUGAGAAAUGGGUCCAGAUGAGGAUGAGGCUGGAUGGGGUGACUGACAGUCUGGAUCAUUGAAACUGAUUGGGUGGUGAGAAAUGGGUCCAGAUGAGGAUGAGGCUGGAUGGGGUGACUGACAGUCUGGAUCAUUGAAACUGGUCCACUAUGACGCAGCAGGGGCAGUUUGGCAGAGCAUCCUCUUCCCUUGUCCUUGUGAAAGAACACAGGAAACAUUUGGGUUUUACAGCUUUUCACACCCUACUAUCAGGCAUCAGAAUCAAAAUUAGUUACUAAAUUGGGUGAAUUUUUGGAAACCUGCAUUUCUAUGCAUCUGCUAUUCCAGAAAAAAAUGGGAAUGUAUUACAGGAGAGUUACCUCACAGUGUCUUAUGUUGUGGAACCUGAAACAUAACCACGUGUUUUCUUAUAUGAUCAUUUGUGUUGAUACUGCUUUUAUUUGAGUUUAUGAACAGAAAUAGAAAGUAUGGUGCUUGGGUUUUGCCCUUUCUUACUCCUGAAAGUUAAAUCAGAAGACACUGAUUUCAUUUUGUGAAAUUUAGCUCAGAGACUAUUGAUCUUUUGUUUCAUUAAUAUGAACAACUAUUAGUAAAAAAUAGCUUUAACAGCAUUUCUGCUGAUAUCUAGUAAUCUAUUCUUUUAAUGUGAAAAUAAGAUAAAAUGUCCUGGAGCUAAUUCUAGCUUAAAUUUGCCAGUAUUUCUGUAUGUCAUUAAGUUUUUUUCCUCUAAGGUUGGUAAUAGAAUUUUGUUAAUCUUUGCAUACCUGAUGGCAUCUAUGUCAAUGCUGAUUGGGUAAUUAUAAAUUCUGUGCUAAUUUAAAACUUAAUUUGCCUCUUAAGGUGAUUGUCCUCUGAGUAAUGAUUGUAGUUAAAUGAAGUAUAGCUUGCAACUAUACUAUCACAUGGGUCGUUAAGUAAAAAUAAAUAAACCAAAUUUGUCUGAGACAGGCUAAGAUCAAUCUUCUCAUCAAACCAAUUUUUCUCUAAGAGCAAUUUCACUUUCAGUUUUAGGGUGGACAUUCUUGAAUGCCUCAAAUUAAACGUUAUCUAUUUAAUCUUCCUGGAAUAGUCUGUGACCAAAAAGGAGGGUGUGAUAUAUUUAGGUGUAAAUAUAUCACAUAUAUGGUGUGAUAUAUUUGGGAUUUAUAUAUUCAGCUCAUUCUCUGUGAAGAAGUCUUCCUGACUAAAAUUGGUUUCAAGAUAAACUAAUUUCUGUUAGUAUUUCUACUCUGCCUACCAUGUAUGCCU
rnacentral:lncRNA from 10 species